UACGUAGGGGGCUAGCGUUGUCCGGAAUCAUUGGGCGUAAAGCGCGUGUAGGCGGUCCGGUAAGUCCGCUGUGAAAGUCGGGGGCUCAACCCUCGAAUGCCGGUGGAUACUGUCGGGCUAGAGUGCGGAAGAGGAGAGUGGAAUUCCUGGUGUAGCGGUGAAAUGCGCAGAUAUCAGGAGGAACACCCGUGGCGAAAGCGGCUCUCUGGGACGGUACUGACGCUGAGACGCGAAAGCGUGGGGAGCGAACAGG
rnacentral:rRNA from 1 species